rnacentral:rRNA from 1 species
GUACCGGGGCUAAACAUAUUACCGAAGCUGUGGAUUGUCCUUUGGACAAUGGUAGGAGAGCGUUCUAAGGGCGUUGAAGCAUGAUCGUAAGGACAUGUGGAGCGCUUAGAAGUGAGAAUGCCGGUGUGAGUAGCGAAAGACGGGUGAGAAUCCCGUCCACCGAUUGACUAAGGUUUCCAGAGGAAGGCUCGUCCGCUCUGGGUUAGUCGGGUCCUAAGCUGAGGCCGACAGGCGUAGGCGAUGGAUAACAGGUUGAUAUUCCUGUACCACCUAUAAUCGUUUUAAUCGAUGGGGGGACGCAGUAGGAUAGGCGAAGCGUGCGAUUGGAUUGCACGUCUAAGCAGUAAGGCUGAGUAUUAGGCAAAUCCGGUACUCGUUAAGGCUGAGCUGUGAUGGGGAGAAGACAUUGUGUCUUCGAGUCGUUGAUUUCACACUGCCGAGAAAAGCCUCUAGAUAGAAAAUAGGUGCCCGUACCGCAAACCGACACAGGUAGUCAAGAUGAGAAUUCUAAGGUGAGCGAGCGAACUCUCGUUAAGGAACUCGGCAAAAUGACCCCGUAACUUCGGGAGAAGGGGUGCUCUUUAGGGUUAACGCCCAGAAGAGCCGCAGUGAAUAGGCCCAAGCGACUGUUUAUCAAAAACACAGGUCUCUGCUAAACCGUAAGGUGAUGUAUAGGGGCUGACGCCUGCCCGGUGCUGGAAGGUUAAGAGGAGUGGUUAGCUUCUGCGAAGCUACGAAUCGAAGCCCCAGUAAACGGCGGCCGUAACUAUAACGGUCCUAAGGUAGCGAAAUUCCUUGUCGGGUAAGUUCCGACCCGCACGAAAGGCGUAACGAUUUGGGCACUGUCUCAACGAGAGACUCGGUGAAAUCAUAGUACCUGUGAAGAUGCAGGUUACCCGCGACAGGACGGAAAGACCCCGUGGAGCUUUACUGUAGCCUGAUAUUGAAAUUCGGCACAGCUUGUACAGGAUAGGUAGGAGCCUUUGAAACGUGAGCGCUAGCUUACGUGGAGGCGCUGGUGGGAUACUACCCUAGCUGUGUUGGCUUUCUAACCCGCACCACUUAUCGUGGUGGGAGACAGUGUCAGGCGGGCAGUUUGACUGGGGCGGUCGCCUCCUAAAAGGUAACGGAGGAGUUCGAAGGUACGCUAGUUACGGUCGGACAUCGUGACGAUAGUGCAAUGGCAUAAGCGUGCUUAACUGCGAGACUGACAAGUCGAGCAGAUGCGAAAGCAGGACAUAGUGAUCCGGUGGUUCCGCAUGGAAGGGCCAUCGCUCAACGGAUAAAAGCUACCCCGGGGAUAACAGGCUUAUCUCCCCCAAGAGUUCACAUCGACGGGGAGGUUUGGCACCUCGAUGUCGGCUCAUCGCAUCCUGGGGCUGUAGUCGGUCCCAAGGGUUGGGCUGUUCGCCCAUUAAAGCGGUACGCGAGCUGGGUUUAAAACGUCGUGAGACAGUUUGGUCCCUAUCUUCCGUGGGCGCUGCAGAUUUGAGGAAGCCUGCUCCUAGUACGAGAGGACCGGAGUGGACACACCUCUGGUGUAUCGGUUGUCACGCCAGUGGCAUUGCCGAGUAGCUAAGUGUGGAAGAGAUAACCGCUGAAAGCAUCUAAGCGGGAAACUCGUUUCAAGAUGAGAUCUGCCGGGGCCUUGAGCCCCCUAAAGAGUCGUUCAAGACCAGGACGUUGAUAGGCUGGGUGUGGAAGCGCAGUAAUGCGUUAAGCUAACCAGUACUAAUUGCUCGUGCGGCUUGACCCU